UGGUUAUUAAUAUCGGCGUUUACAAAAACCACGGAUGUGGUUAUAUACGAAAAAAAGACCAAAUAUACCCCACUGGAGUUAAAGAGAAACUAUUUAAGGUUUUGAAAAUUAUAUCGAAUGGGAAUGCCGAAAAGUUCAUUAGUAAAUAGGUCCUUUUUACAAAGUGCAUGGGGGAUGUAGAAUGUUAAACACAACAGGAAACGGAUAUAGAGUACAGAGAAUUCCUGCAACAUUGCGCUAUAACACUAUUUUUAGUGUCAACCGGAAUGAAGAUGAAGUGCAUAUCAUCAAUAUCAACGGCCACCGCCACGUGUGUUUGCUUAUUUGGGUUGUGUAUUAGCCAUCCGACCUCCGCCGACAAAAUUAACCACUGUUUCUGCAGAGUGAAUUACAACUACACUCGUUGUGAGCUAAAAAUAAGGGCUUUUAGUCACCAUGAGACAGCUGUGCUGUUGUAGGGCAACUUUUGAAGUUGAGAAAUACAGUCACCAUGGAUACUACAACCGUGUAGAGGAAUGUCACCUGAUGGCUUGUUAAGCUUUUUUGAUGCAGCAGCUCUCUUAUUAAUUGACCAUUAAACAGCAUCAAACAUACUUUUGAGAUAACGUGAAUUUAAGGUAUUGGGCCCCUAAUAGUGAUGUUUUAAAAAUGGCAUUUGCUUGGUAUAUUCUUAAAGUUGACCAUGUUUCACACUGUGUUGCAUAUUUUAAACAACUUUCACCGUGCCGUGUUUUGUAAAAAUUGUAUAAUAUAUGGUAUUUCCUCAAGCUCAAGAAGAGACAAAAUUCAAUGUGAUUGCCACUAUCUAAAACGCUUGCAGAGAAUUCAUUACAACAUUAAUUUUGAUAAAAGAAACAUCAAACUAUUGUUAAACAAUUAUAAAACACAAAAUAAAACUUUAUAAAUUAUUUUUGUCUACGGUGCCUGAAGUAAACAGAUUUAAUGAGACAGAAUUCUAACUCCAACAUUGAAAAAUCAAGGUCGAAUCCGGUGGGUCUGUUUUGAAUUUUGCUCACUUCAUUCAAAAAUAACCUUGGGGCAAUAGUAAAACCUACCUGCAUUUCUUCCACAACAUGUAAUCUAACGAAUGAAGGCAAAAUAGAGAACUUUUACCGCAUGUAACUCAGUAUUUUUUAAAGAUGUCUAACUCUACCCCUCCUGAUUCAGAGGUAAAUUCACAUUAAACAGCAAAAAAUCGCUUAUAAAAUGAAAAUUUUCCACUUUUGUACAAUUCAUCCAUAAUUAGUCUUGAAAGGAGCAAAAACUUACUAGGAAAAAGGAAAACAUGGGAAAAAAAGUUUGGUCCCAGUGGGGUUUGAACCUACGCCCUCCUGAAAAUUGCAGUCAGAGUAGGUUUAUGGUAGGAAUUGAAUACUCUUCAAAAAGGAGAUACUCUAUUACGGGUCCAAUACCUUAAGAUAAAGAUCGACGAAAAUGCUAAAAUAUAAUUUCUAGGACUUAGUUUUUAUAAUAUGUUGGAAAAGUGAGUUUCUAUUUUAAUAUUUUCAAAUAUUACCAAACAGAUGACUGAGCAUAAUCUUUUAGUUUGCUCAAAUAUAUACACUUGAACAUUACGUUUUUUCUACUCAUUCUACGAAUUUAUCGUGUUUUUUUCUGCCUCUUUCAUGUUUUUUCCCUUAUGACGUAUUUUUAUCAUUUUAUUCAUUUAAAAUUACUCAUUUACGGAAAAUCUUUGUCAUGUCAGAUUUAUUUAAUUUAUAUACAUUUUAUAUUGACAUAUAUUUACCACAAUAAAGCUUAUUUUUAC